UUACGGCCACAUCAUGUUGAAAAACCAGUUCCCGUACGGUCUCCGAAGUUAAGCAACGCCCAACCUAAUCAGUACUUAGAUGGGUGACCGUUUGUAACCUCG